GUGUCCAUGUGUUCUCAUUGUUCAAUUCCCAUCUGUGAGUGAGAACAUGCGGUGUUUGGUUUUUUGUCCUUGCGAUAGUUUAGUGAGAAUGAUGAUUUCCAAUUUCAUCCAUGUCCCUACAAAGGACAUGAACUCAUCAUUUUUUACGGCUGCAUAGUAUUCCAUGGUGUAUAUAUGCCACAUUUUCUUAAUCUAGUCUAUCAUUGUUGGACAUUUGGGUUGGUUCCAAGUCUUUGCUAUUGUGAAUAGUGCCGCAAUAAACAUACGUGUGCAUGUGUCUUUAUAGCAGCAUGAUUUAUAGUCCUUUAGGUAUAUACCCAGUAAUGGGAUGGCUGGGUCAAAUGGUAUUUCUAGUUCUAGAUCCUUGAG
rnacentral:lncRNA from 1 species